AUGGCGAGAACCCUUUUUGGUUUCGUCGCCGCCCCCGCGCUCCUCCUCGCCGUCUUCAUGCCGGCCCUCGCCGCCGCGCAGGCCCCCGCGCCGGCGCCCACCAGCGACGCGUCCUCGGUCGACCAGGGCGUUGCCUACUUUCUGAUGAUCCUGGCGCUGGUGCUCACCUACCUCAUCCACCCGUUGGACGCCUCCUCCCCGUACAAGCUCUUCUGA
rnacentral:rRNA from 1 species